GAGGGAUAUAAUUACCUAAUAAUCGCCCCUGACUAAUCAGCUCCCCCAAUACAAAAUUGCUUCCUACAGGUAGUGGAUAGGCAGUAACUAUUAAAGUAUGGCGCAUUGCCAGCCAAUGGCGGUUAAUAAGAGACAUUAGCAGAUACUGACAGUACUCUACAACUGACAAGUAAAAUCGUCUGGCGUUACAGAGUGUAAAUUUGUCUGGCGUUAGACAGAGUUAAUACUAAAGUGGGG